rnacentral:lncRNA from 1 species
GAGAAUUCUUUAUAUAUAUAAAAAAUCAAAUAGAGUGAUAUCUGAAGGAUCCACAUGUCAAGAGCAGGAAUCUUGGCGCUACUCAAUUGUGAGAGCAUAACUUUAAACAGGACUUGAUAUUCUUUUAACGUCCGCCAUGGUGUAAUAUAGUCGUUAUCCCAAAAUUUGAUGGUUACAUUCUCCAACUCAGAACUUUCAAAUCUUGCCAAGAAAAAACCAAUAGCAUAGAAAUUACGGAGUUUGGGUGCCAACACCACAACUUUUCCAUUGGUUAAAUUUAAAGAGUACAAUGAGACCCUGAUUUUCAGGUUCAACAAUAAGGGACUAGAUAUAAUACAACAACCUAUGUUCUUCACGCCAUAGAUGUAAGAUUUUGCAGACUUGUAAGUGCAAGGAAGUAGUCACUCAUACUCUCCGAAAACACCACAUUAAUCAAUUGUAAAGUUAAUAAAGCAGGAAAAUCCCACACCCGUUCAGGCAAAGUGCACAAUUCUAGGCAGAGUGUAGUUAAGGUAGGCAAGCA